rnacentral:tRNA from 1 species
GCAGGUGCGCAGGCAGCGGAUACUUCCGCCUAUCAAGCGGGUAACGCGGGUUCGAAUCCCGCCACCGGCCCCG